ACCACAUUCUGCUCUACUUUCUCAUGUCUAUGUGGCCCUCCCUGAGUGGGAAGGCUUAAGUUUUGUAAGAUUCAUCAUAAGUGUGGUGAUAUUUCCUAAUUCCAGGGAAUGGAGCUAGUCAUGCCACACAUCUUUGCUGUUUUCACGAACUGAGGUAAUUUUUAUUUUUAUUUUUAUUUUUUUGAGGAACAGUCUUACUCUGUCACCCAGGCUGCAGUGUAGUGGUGUGAUCACAGCUCACUGCAGCCUUGACCUCCUGGGCUUAGGUGAUCCUCCCACCCUAGCCUCCCAUGUAGCUGGGACUAGAGGUAUGUGCCACCUCACCUCCUUUUUUUCUUUUCUUUUUCUUUUUUGGAGAGACAGAUUCUUCUUAUGUUGCUAUUUUAAACUCCUGAACUCAAGUGAUCCUCCUGCCUUGGCCUCCCAAAGUGCUGGGAUUACAGGUGUGAGACACUGCACCCUGCCCAAGCACCUCUGCUCCGUGCCAUGCUCUUGGCUAAUUGGAGUUGUGAAAGGCAUGAGGAUUCUGGUCAUGGACUCAGCUCUCCCAUAGGGUUCUGACACCAAAGCAAUGGUCACAACAGUGAAAGGAAGAAUCCAUCUGGCCAGGCUCAGGUGGUUCAAGGCCUUCAGAAUCUGCCUUGAGACUCUCACUGGCUUUAGACUGAAAACCAUCUUGGCCCCGUCCAUCCGUGUAAGCAAUUUAACGACAGCUUGCAAAGCACCGAGCUUUAACAGAAAGAAGAGAUGAGCACAGCGCAAGAACUUGGACUCCAGAAGAGCUGCCUAACAGAUUAUUUUUCUGUGGCAUUUCAUGAGAACAAACGAAGUAGGAAUUUUCCUUUUGUUUGUCUGGCCUUUGGCAUCGUUUACUUUCUUUUUAUUCUUCUGAAAUGUACUUCGAGCCCUGGCAGCAUUUCUGUCCUAAAAUCUUAUUGUCAGAGGUUUAUUUUUCAGCUUUUCAAAUCAUAUCUGAUAGAGUGAGUGUACUGCCUGGACUCAUCACUUUACUUCAGAAGAAAUACAGCUCACCCUUUAAAUGACAAUGGUGACUGUCCACAUCUUUAUGUUUUCUACACUGAAGUGGCAGGCUUCAUUUAAAAAUAAUGUUUUCCCUCAUCAAAAGAGAGCUAGGGUAGAACCGUCAACUCUGCUGUUGUCUGGGUAGUGACCUAACACCCACGUUUUGGACAAUCACUCACUGUCUUAUAUUGGGUUUUCAUUGCAUGUAGGAUAAUUCUUUGUCAAUGGUAGUUUUGUCAACCGUGAUCUGAGGUAAUGAGGUUUUCUACUUUUGCUUGAAAUUUUGAAAAUAUGCAAGCUUUAAACAUUUGCAAAGUUGGAUUCUGUUUUCUUUAGAAAGCAAUCUGAUUUGCUGAUAUUCUCUCCAUCUGUCAGGGGAUGCGUGAUGUGGUGUAGACUUAAUGUGCUGCCUUUCUGGAACAUGGACAGAGUAGCAGCACAGAAAAAUGAGCAUUUCAGCUCUGUGAUGAUUUGUGAAAAAAAAUCUCAGAUCAUUGAGCAGGCAUUUUGCUGACACCUGUGAAAAGUAACCACAUGAGAGAGCAUGGCGUGAUGGUCGGAGGCCACGUGCUGGAGCUGGACUGCUUGAGUCAAAUCCCAGCUGCUCAGCUGUAGUGAACUGAAUGGUGGUCCCCAAAAGAUACAUGUAUCUCCUAAUCCCUGGAACCUGUGAAUGUGACCUUAUUAGGCAAAAGGGUCUUUGCAGAUGUAAUUACAUUGAGGCUCUCAGAGAUGAGAACAUCCUGGAUUAUCAGGGUGGGUCCUAUAUCCAAUGACAAGUGUCUCCUUAUAGGAGACAGAAGAAGUUGCAGACCCGGAAGAGACUAAGUAAAGAUGGAGGCAGAGACUGGAGUGAGGCUGCUGCAGGCCAAAAAUGCCUGGUGCCAGCAAAAGCUGGAAGAGGCAAGGAAGGACCUUUCCCUGGGGCUUUUGGAGGGAGUGCAGCCCUGCUGAUGCCUUAGUGUUGGAUAUCUGGGCUAUGGAACUAUGAGAGAGAAACUUCUGUUGUUUUAAGCCACCUAGUUUGUGGUACUCUGUUAUGGCAGCCACAGGAAACUAAUACACUCUUUACCAC
ensembl:lncRNA PIRAT1 PU.1 (SPI1) induced regulator of S100A8 and S100A9 alarmin transcription 1